rnacentral:rRNA from 1 species
AGAGUUUGAUCCUGGCUCAGAUUGAACGCUGGCGGCAUGCCUUACACAUGCAAGUCGAACGGCAGCACGAGAGCUUGCUCUUGGUGGCGAGUGGCGAACGAGUGAGUAAUAUAUCGGAACGUACCCUAGAGUGGGGGAUAACGUAGCGAAAGUUACGCUAAUACCGCAUACGAUCUACGGAUGAAAGUGGGGGAUCGCGAGACCUCAUGCUCAUGGAGCGGCCGAUAUCUGAUUAGCUAGUUGGUGGGGUAAAAGCUCACCAAGGCGACGAUCAGUAGCUGGUCUGAGAGGACGACCAGCCACACUGGAACUGAGACACGGUCCAGACUCCUACGGGAGGCAGCAGUGGGGAAUUUUGGACAAUGGGCGCAAGCCUGAUCCAGCAAUGCCGCGUGAGUGAAGAAGGCCUUCGGGUUGUAAAGCUCUUUUGUCAGGGAAGAAACGGUGGACUCUAAUACAGAUCACUGAUGACGGUACCUGAAGAAUAAGCACCGGCUAACUACGUGCCAGCAGCCGCGGUAAUACGUAGGGUGCAAGCGUUAAUCGGAAUUACUGGGCGUAAAGCGUGCGCAGGCGGUUGUGCAAGACAGAUGUGAAAUCCCCGGGCUCAACCUGGGAAUUGCAUUUGUGACUGCACGGCUAGAGUGUGUCAGAGGGGGGUAGAAUUCCACGUGUAGCAGUGAAAUGCGUAGAGAUGUGGAGGAAUACCGAUGGCGAAGGCAGCCCCCUGGGAUAACACUGACGCUCAUGCACGAAAGCGUGGGGAGCAAACAGGAUUAGAUACCCUGGUAGUCCACGCCCUAAACGAUGUCUACUAGUUGUCGGGUCUUAAUUGACUUGGUAACGCAGCUAACGCGUGAAGUAGACCGCCUGGGGAGUACGGUCGCAAGAUUAAAACUCAAAGGAAUUGACGGGGACCCGCACAAGCGGUGGAUGAUGUGGAUUAAUUCGAUGCAACGCGAAAAACCUUACCUACCCUUGACAUGUCUGGAAUCCUUGAGAGAUCAGGGAGUGCUCGAAAGAGAAUCAGAACACAGGUGCUGCAUGGCUGUCGUCAGCUCGUGUCGUGAGAUGUUGGGUUAAGUCCCGCAACGAGCGCAACCCUUGUCAUUAGUUGCUACGAAAGGGCACUCUAAUGAGACUGCCGGUGACAAACCGGAGGAAGGUGGGGAUGACGUCAAGUCCUCAUGGCCCUUAUGGGUAGGGCUUCACACGUCAUACAAUGGUACAUACAGAGGGCCGCCAACCCGCGAGGGGGAGCUAAUCCCAGAAGGUGUAUCGUAGUCCGGAUUGUAGUCUGCAACUCAACUACAUGAAGUUGGAAUCGCUAGUAAUCGCGGAUCAGCAUGUCGCGGUGAAUACGUUCCCGGGUCUUGUACACACCGCCCGUCACACCAUGGGAGCGGGUUUCACCAGAAGUGGGUAGCCUAACCGCAAGGAGGGCGCUCACCACGGUGGGAUUCGUGACUGGGGUGAAGUCGUAACAAGGUA